rnacentral:rRNA from 1 species
CCUACGGGGGGCUGCAGUGAGGAAUAUUGGUCAAUGGACGCAAGUCUGAACCAGCCAUGCCGCGUGCAGGAAGACGGCUCUAUGAGUUGUAAACUGCUUUUGUACGAGGGUAAACGCAGAUACGUGUAUCUGUCUGAAAGUAUCGUACGAAUAAGGAUCGGCUAACUCCGUGCCAGCAGCCGCGGUAAUACGGAGGAUUCAAGCGUUAUCCGGAUUUAUUGGGUUUAAAGGGUGCGUAGGCGGUCGGAUAAGUUAGAGGUGAAAUCCCGUGGCUCAACUUCGGAAUUGCCUCUGAUACUGUGCGGCUAGAGAGUAGGUGCGGUAGGCGGAAUGUGUGGUGUAGCGGUGAAAUGCUUAGAUAUCAUACAGAACACCGAUUGCGAAGGCAGCUUACCGAGCUAUUUCUGACGUUGAGGCACGAAAGCGUGGGGAGCAAACAGGAUUAGAUACCCCAGUAGUC